GGAACAAGAGUCGGUUUCCAUCCUAUCGGCGGCAACUGAAGUCCAAAGGAAAAUAAAAGUGGUGACACAUUUCUCUCACAGCAUUCCCAAGUUAGUCUGCCCGGACGGCCAAGAUGGGUUGCUUAUUAGCACGAAGAACCUUAACCGUGUGGUGAAAAUCAACCUGACGGCAAUGACGAUGACUGUGGAGAGCGGUGUCACGUUGAGACAACUGAUUAAUGAAGCAGCCAAGGCUGGCUUGGCAUUGCCUUAUGCACCGUAUUGGUGGGGACUGACCAUUGGAGGGCUUUUAGGUACAGGCGCUCAUGGGAGCUCGUUGUGGGAGAAAGGGAGUUCGGUUCAUGAUUAUGUAGUGGAGAUGAGAAUUGUAAGCCCUGCAAAAGCUGAAGAUGGAUAUGCUAAGGUGUGGGUGUUAAAUGAAAGUGACAAAGAUCUCAAUGCAGCAAAGUUUUCACUUGGAGUUCUUGGGGUAAUCUCUCAGGUAACUCUCACUGUCUCACAGCUUCCUUUCUCCAUUUGCCAUUGUUCUCUUUGGGAUGAUAUGAUUAUGAGCUGAUUGUUUGAUCAUAUGAUUAAACUAUAUUCUAUCGAUGAAAGCUGGAAAUUCAGGAAUCAAGAAACCAUCCACUAUAGCUCUCACCUAUUGUUCUUGCGCAUAAUGGUAGUGAUGCAGUGUCGGGGGAACCGGUCCCCCUUAGUUUUGUCAAAGGAAUUUUUUAUUUUUUAGUGUUAGAAGGAAUACUUUUGUCUUAUGAAUAAUUGAAUAAAUUUAUUAUUACUUAAAUUCAUAGUUAGCUAUCAACUUGGGGGUGGAUUGAAAAUUUAAAGAGUUUGGAUAAAAAUUAUAAAAUCGAAAAAUAUGUUUGGAACAAGUAUAAUUUGUAUAGAAUUAUACUUUUUUUUAUUUGACAUUAAUUAGUGAAAUUUUUAUUAUAUAAUUUAUUUUUCUACUUAAGUAAAUUUCUUAUUUUUUCUUUAUAUUUUGUGAUCAUCCUAUUAUCAUUAUCGAUAUCUAUUAUAAUAUAUAUAUAGAUAUAUUUAUGUAUAAUUCUUUGAUUAUUUUAUAGGUCACACUCAAACUUCAAUCUCUUUUCAAACGAUCCAUUACUUAUGUAAUGAAAGAUGACACAGAUUUGGGAGAUAAAGUAGUAACUUUUGGUAAACUCCAUGAAUUUGCUGACAUAUUUUGGUAUCCUAGCCAACGAAAGGUAGCCUACAGAAUCGAUGAUCGGGUUCCCGUUAAUGUAUCUGGGAGUGGUGUCUAUUAUUUCACUCCAUUUCGCUCCACUCUUUCAUCUGUUUUGUCUGUUAUCCGAUCUGUGGGUUUGUAUUGACAAUCACUAUUUCUUUUAUUUUCUUCAUUACAAAUUUGUAAGAGAAAAAAAAAAUAGAUGACACUUAAUCCUUAAUCUUUGACAUCAACUCACAACAAUUUUAUUAUUAUACGAUUUUGUUCGCCGCCGUUACCAUUACAAAUGCAUCAACUUCAUCAAAAUAGCAUUUUAGCUUAUUUAUUUAUUUACUUGUAUGAAUUUGUUUAAUGAUUUAGAGGAAACUCAAGAAUCCUUAAGAGAUACUGAAGGGAAGUGCCUGAAUGCAAAGCUAGUGACUUCAACACUUCAAUCGUCUGCUUAUGGCUUAACAGACAACGGUAUACCCCCUAGUCUCUUUCUUUUAAUAAUACCUACUUCGAAUAAUUGAAUCUCUUUGAUUUUAUAAUUUUAUUAUUUAGUCUAAAUAGUUAAAACUGUUAAUUAAUUCGAUUAAAAUACGUACAUAAAUUUUCUAAAAAUAUCUCUUUAAACACAUCAUAUUUAUUGAAGUGGUUAAUGACAGGAAUAAAGCCAAGAUUAGCCAAGAUCUUUUUGCUAAUGAGAACAAGAUAAAAUUAUAAAUUGUGGAGCAAAAUUAAAAAAAGUUAUCAAAUAAAUCUAAAUUGAAUUAUUUACUUUUGAAAGGUAUCAACACAAUUUUUUCUUUCCAACCAAGAGGGACCAAUAACCUUAUCUUCAUGUGCCUCUAUUUAAUGGUGUUACUUAUUUGAAGUAUGUAAUCCCAUUAUAAAAAUAUAUUACCAAAUUAUGUAAAAUUAAAUAUAACAAGAGUUAAAUUAUAAUUUAAGAAAAAUGGAGGGUUCAAAACUAAAAUUUGACCGAAAUAAUCUAUAGCUAAGUAUAUGCUUUUUGCUUCUUUCAUUCAUGAAAUGUAGGUGUCAUUUUUACGGGCUAUCCAGUAAUCGGAUUCCACCAUCGUCUCCAAUCAUCGGGAACUUGUCUAGACAGCCAUAAAGACUCAUUGAUCACCGCAUGCCCUUGGGACCCCAGAAUCAAAGGCGAGUUCUUUCACCAAACCACAUUCAGCAUCGAUUUAUCGGUCGUGAAAAGCUUCAUCCAAGACGUGCAGAAGCUAGUGUCAAUGGAUCCUAAAUCACUAUGUGGGCUAGAACUUUACAAUGGGAUCGUCAUGCGCUACGUUAAAGCUUCCACCGCUUACUUGGGCAAGCAAGAAGACGCCAUAGCUUUCGACAUUACCUACUACAGGAGCAAAGACCCCAUGGCUCCUAGGCUUUACCAAGACGUGUUGGAAGAGAUCGAGCAAAUGGCGUUGUUCAAAUACAAUGCUUUGCCGCAUUGGGGGAAGAACCGUAACCUGGUGUUCGAUGGGGUGAUGAAGAGAUACAAGAAUGGUGGAGAGUUCUUGAAGGUUAAAAAUAAGUAUGAUCCAUGGGGAUUGUUUUCGAGUGAGUGGACUGACCAAGUUCUUGGACUGAGAAAUGGGGUCACCGUAUUGAAAGAAGGGUGCGCUUUGGAAGGAGUGUGUGUUUGUUCCCAAGAUGUUCAUUGUGCUCCAAGGAAAGGCUAUUUGUGUAAACCUGGGAAAAUUUUUCUAGAUGCAAGAGUAUGUGCUCGUGUAAAUACUAAGAAUUAGAGCGAAAUGAUAUAUACACUACUCUUUUGAACCACAUGGUUAAAAUGAUAUGUAAUAACUAUGAACAUAAAAGGAAAGAAUAUAUAAAAGAUAAUUAUGCUUUAAAUCUAAUUAUUAACUCCGGUUAAAAAGAAACUAAACCAAUCAACUAAAAUAUUGAAGAUGAAUGUAUGGUAUUCAGGAUUUUGUUUUAAAUCUAACUGUUAACUCCCGUUAAAAAUCUAGGGGUUUUUUUUGGCUGAAGAGUGAAAAAGUGUUGGCUCUCCAUCGUCCACCACAUGCUACCCCUACUCAUCAGCAUUGGGAUAUUAACGAGUCAAUUUAGGGUUCAAAGCUGCAUGCAUCCACAACAACGAAACCCCAUGAUUUUAAUUUCAUGGAAUAAUCUUAAGUCCCCAGCUAUGAGGUUGGAGUUCAACCAUGUGCAGACAUAAUGAAUUUGUUUUACAACCAAAAUAAUUUACUUGUAAUCCCACGAUUUCACAUGUGAAUUACUUGACAAAACACGCAAUUUAGAAAAUGAAAGGCAACAAAUUCAGAAAUGCAAUUCCUUCAAAAAAAAAAAAAACCAAUUGAUGACAUCAGGGAUUUAAAUAGCGGUCCGAUACCGGUAUAGCGGCCGCUAUAUAGUGGUAGCGGUGGAUCGCGAUCGCAAUUUAACAGGUAACGGCCAAUUACAGCAAUAAUGGGCUGCUAUUCCCGUUAUUUUACAAUAGGUGUCUAAAAAAGGGCAUGUGACAGACGCAGGAAAAGAAGAUGGUGGCUGGACGACGACUGAAAUUUUGAUGAAACAUUGGCAUUUGAGGGCUUGAACGUCGAAGAACAAUGGUGUUUACAAGAUGAUUUCUGUUUCCUUAAGUUUGAGUCACUGGAUGGAUGUGUAAGUUUUGGGGAGAAGAAGAGACUGAGGUAGUCGAAAGGUCUGCUGAAAACUUGAAAAUGAAGAAGAGAUAAGCACAGAGGGGUUUUUCCAAGAACCUGUUGCUUUUCGGGAGCUUAGCCUUUAGAUUUUUUUUGGCUGAAAUUAGGAAGUUUGUAGAGCACCCUCUAUUACUUAGCUGGAUAUAAGUUUGUUUUUCGGCCUUUUAUGAUUGUUUUAUUUUGGGCUUUAUUUGACUUUUUCUAUUAAAAAAAUAGUAAAAUAAAAUAUCAAUAUUUUCAUUUAAGUAUUUUAACAUAAAAAAUAUAUAAAAAUAUUUUUUUAUUACUGUAUCCUAUUGUAUUCGUGUCCAUAUCGAGUCGUAUUCAUAUUGCGUAUCCGUGUCCAUACUUUAUAGCUAAAAAUAAUUAAAAGUGACUUUUUAAAAUUAUAAUUAUAAUUAUUAUGCUUUAAAAUAAGUUGUGCGAAUUUUAAAAAAUUUCACGACCGCGAUACCCGCAGUGACCGCAAUAGCAUCUAUUAUGUCCACAACCGCGAUAAACGCAACACGACCGAAAACGCGGCCGCAACCGCAAUUUAAAUCCCUGAAUCACACCUUACCAUUAACUAAAACAAAAAUAUAGUAAAUAAUUAAUAAAUAAAUACUAUUAAAUAAUGAAGACAUACUUGUCAGAAGCAACUUUCUAUGAUACACAACUAUAUAUAAAGGUGUGUAUUCGAAAAUGAAUGGAUCAAUCAAUUGUAUAGCCAACAAGUUUCCAUCAACCAUGCCAAUUAUACCAGUGUUGUAUUCAAACAAGUUCAAUGAGCUUGUCCUGUUGAAAUGCCUCUUUCUAUUAGUUGUUUUGGUGGGUUGCAGUCCUCCAAGGGAGCCUGUCAAAUGUUCCAUGAAAGAUUCAAACUGCACCGUCACGAACUCUUACGACGCAUUCCUCGAACGAACCAUUUGCCAAGCAGGGAACGUGGUUUACUCGAUAUCGGAACAAAAGUUGGUUUCCAUCCUAUCGGUGGCAACUGAAGUCCAAAGGAAAAUGAAAGUGGUGACACAUUUCUCUCACAGCAUUCCCAAGUUAGUCUGCCCGGACGGCCAAGAUGGGUUGCUUAUUAGCACGAAGAACCUUAACCGUGUGGUGAAAAUCAACCUGGCGGUAAUGAUGAUGACUGUGGAGAGCGGUGUCACGUU
rnacentral:lncRNA from 1 species